rnacentral:rRNA from 1 species
UGGGGAAUAUUGCACAAUGGGGGAAACCCUGAUGCAGCGACGCCGCGUGAGCGAAGAAGGUUUUCGAAUCGUAAAGCUCUGUCCUAAGGGAAGAUAAUGACGGUACCAUAGGAGGAAGCCCCGGCUAACUACGUGCCAGCAGCCGCGGUAAUACGUAGGGGGCAAGCGUUGUACGGAAUCACUGGGCGUAAAGGGUUCGCAGGCGGAAAUGCAAGUCAGUUGUGAAAGGCAGAGGCUCAACCUCUGUAAGCAAUUGAAACUGUAUUUCUUGAGAUGUAGAGAGGCAAGUGGAAUUCCUAGUGUAGCGGUGAAAUGCGUAGAUAUUAGGAAGAAUACCGGUGGCGAAGGCGACUUGCUGGACACAAACUGACGCUGAGGAACGAAAGCGUGGGUAGCAAACAGG